rnacentral:rRNA from 1 species
GACAGAGGAUGCAAGCGUUAUCCGGAAUGAUUGGGCGUAAAGCGUCUGUAGGUGGCUUUUUAAGUCCGCCGUCAAAUCCCAGGGCUCAACCCCUGGACAGGCGGUGGAAACUACCCAAGCUGGAGUACGGUAGGGGCAGAGGGAAUUUCCGGUGGAGCGGUGAAAUGCGUAGAGAUCGGAAAGAACACCAAUGGCGAAGGCACUCUACUGGGCCAUGACUGACACUAAGAGACGAAAGCUAGGGGAGCAAAUGGG